rnacentral:rRNA from 1 species
UCCUACUCCGUGUGUCGUCUCGGCUAGUCUCGAGUAGUAGUUCGCUCUGGCAGGACGACGCUGGCGGCGUGCUUAACACAUGCAAGUCGAGCGGUAAGGCCCUUCGGGGUACACGAGCGGCGAACGGGUGAGUAACACGUGAGCAACCUGCCCCUGACUCUGGGAUAAGCGGUGGAAACGCCGUCUAAUACCGGAUACGACCCACCACCUCAUGGUGGAGGGUGGAAAGUUUUAUCGGUCAGGGAUGGGCUCGCGGCCUAUCAGCUUGUUGGUGGGGUAACGGCCUACCAAGGCGAUUACGGGUAGCCGGCCUGAGAGGGCGACCGGCCACACUGGGACUGAGACACGGCCCAGACUCCUGCGGGAGGCAGCAGUGGGGGAAUAUUGCACAAUGGGCGAAAGCCUGAUGCAGCGACGCCGCGUGGGGGAUGACGGCCUUCGGGUUGUAAACCUCUUUUACCACCAACGCAGGCUCCACGUUCUCGUGGGGUUGACGGUAGGUGGGGAAUAAGGACCGGCUAACUACGUG